rnacentral:rRNA from 1 species
AUUGAACGCUGGCGGCAGGCCUAACACAUGCAAGUCGAACGAGUGGCGGACGGGUGAGUAAUGUCUGGGAAACUGCCUGAUGGAGGGGGAUAACUACUGGAAACGGUAGCUAAUACCGCAUACCAUCGGAUGUGCCCAGAUGGGAUUAGCUAGUGGGUGGGGUAACGGCUCACCUAGGCGACGAUCCCUAGCUUGUCUGAGAGGAUGACCAGCCACACGGGAAUGGAGACACGGUCCAGACUCCUACGGGAGGCAGCAGGGGGGCAUAGUGCACAAUGGGCGCAAGCCUGAUGCAGCCAUGCCGCGGGUAUGAAGAAGGCAUUCGGGUUGUAAAGUACGUUCAGCGGGGAGGAGUUACCCGCAGAAGAAGCACCGGCUAACUCCGUGCCAGCAGCCGCGGUAAUUC